GAUGAACGCUAGCUACAGGCUUAACACAUGCAAGUCGAGGGGUAACGAGAGGAAAGCUUGCUUUCCUUGUCGACGACCGGCGCACGGGUGAGUAACGCGUAUCCAACCUGCCCCCAACUAGGGAAUAACCUUGCGAAAGUAAGACUAAUACCCUAUAAUUUCCUCAGAUGUCAUCUGACGAGGACUAAAGAUUUAUCGGUUGUGGAUGGGGAUGCGUCUGAUUAGCUUGUUGGCGGGGUAACGGCCCACCAAGGCAACGAUCGGUAGGGGUUCUGAGAGGAAGGUCCCCCACAUUGGAACUGAGACACGGUCCAAACUCCUACGGGAGGCAGCAGUGAGGAAUAUUGGUCAAUGGGCGGAAGCCCGAACCAGCCAAGUAGCGUGCAGGAUGACGGCCCUAUGGGUUGUAAACUGCUUUUAUACAGGAAUAAAGUUAGCCACGUGUGGUUAUUUGUAGGUACUGUAUGAAUAAGGACCGGCUAAUUCCGUGCCAGCCGCCGCAGUAA
rnacentral:rRNA from 1 species